GAUGAACGCUGGCGGCGUGCCUAAUACAUGCAAGUCGAGCGAACAGAUAAGGAGCUUGCUCCUUUGACGUUAGCGGCGGAAGGGUGAGUAACACGUGGAUAACCUACCUAUAAGACUGGGAUAACUUCGGGAAACCGGAGCUAAUACCGGAUAACAUAUUGAACCGCAUGGUUCAAUAGUGAAAGGCGGCUUUGCUGUCACUUCUAGAUGGAUCCGCGCCGUAUUAGCUAGUUGGUAAGGUAACGGCUUACCAAGGCAACGAUACGUAACCGACCUGAGAGGGUGAUCGGCCACACUGGAACAGAGACACGGUCCAGACUCCUACGGGAGGCAGCAGAAGGGAAUCUUCCGCAAUGGGCAAAAGCCUGACAGAACAACGCCGCGUGAGUGAUGAAGGUCUUCGGAUCGUAAAACACUGUUAUCAGGGAAGAACAAAUGUGUAAGUAACUGAGCACAUCUUGACGGUACCUGAUCAGAAAGCCACGGCUAACUACGUG
rnacentral:rRNA from 1 species